rnacentral:rRNA from 1 species
CGUAUCCAACCUGCCCACCACUUGGGGAUAACCUUGCGAAAGUAAGACUAAUACCCAAUGAUAUCUCUAGAAGAUAUCUGAAAGAGAUUAAAGAUUUAUCGGUGAUGGAUGGGGAUGUGUCUGAUUAGCUUGUUGGCGGGGUAACGGCCCACCAAGGCAACGAUCAGUAGGGGUUCUGAGAGGAAGGUCCCCCACAUUGGAACUGAGACACGGUCCAAACUCCUACGGGAGGCAGCAGUGAGGAAUAUUGGUCAAUGGACGAGAGUCUGAACCAGCCAAGUAGCGUGCAGGAUGACGGCCCUAUGGGUUGUAAACUGCUUUUAUAAGGGAAUAAAGUGAGUCUCGUGAGACUUUUUGCAUGUACCUUAUGAAUAAGGACCGGCUAAUUCCGUGCCAGCAGCCGCGGUAAUACGGAAGGUCCGGGCGUUAUCCGGAUUUAUUGGGUUUAAAGGGAGCGUAGGCCGGAGAUUAAGCGUGUUGUGAAAUGUAGAUGCUCAACGUCUGCACUGCAGCGCGAACUGGUUUCCUUGAGUACGCACAAAGUGGGCGGAAUUCGUGGUGUAGCGGUGAAAUGCUUAGAUAUCACGAAGAACUCCGAUUGCGAAGGCAGCUCACUGGAGCGCAACUGACGCUGAAGC